AGCAGAGAGAUGAAGAAUGUACCUGAAAUUUAAAACUUCUGUUGAUAACAGAAUCGAAGGUGAUUACACAGUUUCGACUCCAAAAUUCCCACAAGAACUCAACGGCAAAUCAAAACUCGAAUAACAGCAAACCAGUAGCAGUCUAGUAGAAAUAAGAGGUUCGAACAGCGACCAACUCGAACUUCUUUUGAUGCUAGAAUCGAAGGUGAUUACACAGUUUCGACUCCAAAAUUCCCACAAGAACUCAAUGGCAAAUCAAAACUCGAAGUACAGCAAACCAGCAAAUGAGAGGAGAGGGAAUCUUUGGUGUCGGAAACCGUUAUCUGCGAUAAGAGGAGAGAUAGAGGAACGCGUGGGUUAGGGAUUGAUAUCUACUCGCGUGAAUUUUGAGCUGAAAUGGGGGCUUGGUUCGUGGUACACAGUAUCGCGUUUGAGAGAUUUAGGGGUUUUCGUGAUUUUUUGGGUCUCUGAAGACUGCUG
rnacentral:lncRNA from 1 species